rnacentral:snRNA from 1 species
AGCUUUGUGCAGUGGCAGUAUCGUAGCCAAUGAGGUUUAUCCGAGGCGCGAUUAUUGCACUCAACAUCGUUAAUCAUUAGAGAAAUGCAAAUC